CGGAACUGCCCUCAGUCUGGGACAGCUCGAAGCGGGAGGGGCAGCGCCUGACCGCCUGUGUAAUAUGUUGAGGGGCGGGGCGUUCCCGCGAGGUAAGAAGCCCGGCCAAUCAGCACGCAUCUUACGUUAUCCCGGGCGUCCAUUCUCCGCUCCCUUAAGACCACGCCCCCUUCCCCCUAAGCGUCUCUCAUUGGACUGUUUUCCGAAGUGUCUCCAUUCAAGCCGAGGCCUAGCUAACUUGUGCACGCCCCGAUUCUGGCCAGGGUCAGGUCUCUGCCGCAAACCGGGUUGGCCAGCAUUUCAUUCCAGAACGUACUGGGAGUUUCUGUCAGGUACAGUUUAGUAGUUGUGUAAUGGUUCUAUCCCCUCUUUCUAAAAAUAGUGAUUACUUAAAAAAAAAAGUCAAGUCUUGAUUUCUGGUUAUAGAUGCAGAGAGUAGGAUUUUCUAGAGAUUUCUGUGAGUGAACUUUGGAAAUCAAUUGAUCCUUCCCAUAUUUUUACUUUUUGUGUACUUUAUCAAAGAAUGGAGUUGGGCUGCUUCGUUUCUUAGUCCUCUUCCAAUUUUCAGAAUUUUAUUUUGAAGUGAGUUUACAUAGAAAAGUUGAUGAUUUUUUUCAGUGGGUUAAAAUGAAAGGUGUGUGUCAGAUUGUGUUAAGAGGAAUAUAUGGGAAUAUGUACAAAAUAAUACAAAGUAUAUUUUUUAUAUACAAAAUGUGUAUACAAAAUAUAUGCAAAAGGAAUAUUUACAAAAUAAAUGUCGUAAGUAUAAAUCUCAGACUAUAGACCAGUGUGUGAAGCAGUAUUAUUCUUUUAUUUACUGUAAAUGAACUUAAUCCUCUGAAUGUGGGCCUCUCCUAUGCCAGAUUAGUGGAAAAAUAACCUGAUCCUUUCUUGGAUUCUCUCUCUCAUUGUCAGAGAUGAGAAGCCUACAAGCAAAAAGGCCUGAGGAAGGACUGGGGUGAGUCAGCUAACUCUCAAAAGAUGGUAGUUGAAUAUCUCUGUUCUCACAUCCUCUUAUCUUCUAAGUGGCUAUCUGGGCUUUGAAAGAGUGAAAAAUCUGAAAGAUUUGCUGAAACGUCUACUUUUCGUGAGGCAAUGUCACAGAACUAAGCCCUGGAAGGCAGGAAAGGAAAACCAGAGAGAAAACUUACUAACUCAAAGUGAUACCCUAGUCACAUAAUCAGGACAAUUUAAUGGCACAGUCAUGGCAGGAUUUUUCUGAAGCCAUGAAUCCAGUUAACCUCGAGGAGACCUGGACUGUGGAGUAGAAGAUGAAGAGAGAGGUCCUAUCUGCUGGACGCCAUGCAUUUGCACUCCAUAUCCCUUAGACACCAACAGGAAUCAGAAUGUCUGAGUGGAAGAAGACACUCUUAUAAUAGUGAUAAAAAAUUCGUAAGAAGAUUCAUGAUUGGAAGAAGGGACUAUCUGAAGACACCCUAAAACUGAGACAAGUUUUGUGUGGUGGAUCCAACUAUACUAGUUUAGAUGAUUCCUUUCCAACUGACAAAAGUAAAUCAUAAUAAAUAAGGAAGACCAAAGAAGACUUGAUACCUUUGAAUUAUGGUGUUGGCGAGAAUAUUGAAUAUACCGCACACUGCCAGAAGAAUGAACAAAUCUGGAAGAAGUACAGCCAGAAUGCUCCUUAGAAGCAAGGAUAGCAAGACUAUGUCUCACAUACUGUGGACAUGUUAUCAGGAGGAAUCAGUCCCUGGAAAAGAACACCAUACGUGGUAGAGGGCCAGCAAAAAAGAGGAAGACCCUCAACGAGAUGGAUUGGCACAGUGGCUGCAACAAUGGGCUCAAGCAUAACAAUGAUUGUGAGGAUGACGCAGAACUAGGAAGUGUUUCAUUCUGCUGUAUAUAGGCUCACCUUUGAGAUGAAACUGACUCGACCACACCUAAUAACAAAAACAUGGGUCUACUCUGAGAGGAAAAGGGCAAAUUACAGAACUCUCAGAAAAAAAAAAAAUUUUUUUUUUUCUCCACACAGAGUAAUGUUCAUAGAAUUGGUUGCUUUUUAACAUUUUUGAUUUUGUAUAACCUUUGUAGACAAAUAUUAAAUAUAGUCACAGAUCCCCAGGUGUUUCUUCCAUGGCACUGCUGGGUGGGUUCAGAUCAUCAACAUUCAGGUUAGUAGUUUAACACAAAGCCUUUGCACCAUCCAGAGACCUAUAGGUAAUGAAGCUGUUUUCUAAACAAUUUUAAAAAAUGAUAAUAUAUUCAAAUGAUUAUUAUUGCAUUAAAAAGGUAUUCUAUUAUCCAAUCAUUCUGACAUUGAGCAAAACAACUCUAGAAUUGUGCUAGAAAAGACCUGGGUGAUUAUCUCUUUCAAAUUCCUUAGUUAACUGAUAAGGAAAGCGAGGUUCACAUCAAUGGAGUUGCCCAAGGUCACCCCAAAAGUUAAUUAAUACGGAGUUCCCUUCUCUUAAAAUUGCCUUCAGAAAUACGGAUGAAAACCACUCAUUACUGCAGAGACAGACAUAGUUUUUGACCAAAAUGGAAUAACACAUUUUAAUCAACACCUCAUUCAUGAGACUUGCUUCCAAAUUAUUUUGGGCUUAAAUUAUUUUUAUCAUGGAAAUUUUCAAAUGUAUACAAAAGUAGAAAGAAAAAUAUAAUGAAACCUCAUGUACUUAUCCUGUUUUAACAUUAUCAACAUUUUGUUAGUCUUACUUAUCUAGUUCCCAUCUCUAUCAUAAUUAUUACUACUACUAAUAUUAUCGGUAGUAGUUGUGUUUUUGCUAUCAUAUUUCUUAUGUUUUUUUUUUUCUUAUGAUAAAGCAAGUCUCAAAUAUAUUACCUAACUUUGAUUACUAGUUUAGUAUGUGUCUCUAACAGAUGAAACAUUGUUUUUAACAAAUCGUAAUGCCGUUAUUGAAACUAACAAAGUUAAUGAUAAUUCCUUAACAUCGUAUAACAAACCAAAGACACCCAAACCCAUUGCCAUCAAGUCCAUUCUAACUUGUAGGGACCCCUACAGGACAGACCACAACUGCCCUAUAGGGUUUCCAAGGCUGUAAAUCUUUACAGAAGCAGACUGCCACAUCUUUCUCCUGUGGAGCAGCUGGUGGGUUUGAAUUGCUGACCUUUUGAUUAGCAGCAGAGCACUUAUCCAUUGUGUCACCAGGGCUCCUUUCCGUGUCGCAAUAUCCAGUUCAUAUUCAAAUUUCCUUGUUUAUUCCAAAAUUGUUUUUUUAGAGUGAGUAUUUUUUUUAUGUCUGAAUCAGAGCUCAAACAACAUUUACAUAUUGCAUUUGGCUUUUAUAUUUCUUAACUCUUCAUCUAUAAUAGUUUUUCUGUCUCGUAAGAAUGCUAUGUAUUUGUUGAAUAAUCCCACUUAAUUUUCCUCCAGAGUGUGCUACAUCUGGAUGUGGCUGAUUGAUUUCUUCUGGUGUUAACUUUUUCUCUAGCCAGGGGCGUCACUGGGGGUGUUUGGAAGGUACCAGGUAACACCAAAAUAGCAGUCUAUAAAAUUUUUGUGCAGUAUUUCAGCAAAAAUGUAUUUUUUUAAAUAAAAAUAUCCCUGCACUUAGUUACAACAAAAACAUUUUUCAUAAGCCCAGCUUCCAUGUAUCCUACAGGGCUAAAACUCUAUGCUAAUUUACUUUGUGAACCUUCUGAUGUGCUCUGGCCAGAGACGUCUUUAUUGUGCAAUUGCAACGAUGCUUUGCAUGUGCUACAAACAUGCGCUGUUGUUUUCAUUGCUGCUGGUGUUUUUCUAGUCACUGAUUUUAUCAGAUUUUCUCGUGUUUUAGCUACAAUUUGUGGUAACUAGUACUUGUGAACCUAUAUCGAUAACUUUUUAACAAUGAAGUAGUAAAGGAAAAGGAGAAAAAUUAAAACAGGUUUCUGCUCGGUUACUAGUAAUGUUGUAAGUCAAUGUAGAAAGAUCUUACAAAACAAUUAGUUGUUAAACCAAACAAAGCCCAUUGCCAUCAAGUCAAUUUUGACUCAUAGUAACCUUUCAUUCAUAUAAUCUAAGAAAUAUUACAUUUAAGCAAUUUAGAACUAUAUCACAUAUCAUCCUAUGAUUAAAGUUGACAAUAAACAUUACUAAGGAUUCUAUAUGGUCUGGUACAGAAGAAGGUCCAUGAGGGGUGACACCAUGAGUUACCUCAGUGGGUGCCCCCAACUCUACUGACGCCACUGUCUCUAACCUCCAUGUUUCUUGUGAAUAAGAAGUUAGAACUAAAGACUUGAUUAGAUUCACAUUCUUUUUUUUUUUAAGCAAGUGCUCUGUACUUCUUUUUACAUCUUAUGAGGAGUCACAUAAUUUUGGAUGUUCCACUUUCAGAUGGUGUCAGCCUGAUUUCUUCCUUAUAAAGUUCCUCAUUACGUUUUACCUAAUGGUCUUAGAACUUGUGAUUAUCAUUGCCUUGAUCCAUUAUUUCAUUACCCAACCCACCCAGUGCCGUUGAGUCGAUUUCAACUCAAUUAGGAGUUGCAAAAUCGUGAUUUUCUAAUUUUAUCAUUCUUUCUGCAUUUAUUAACUGGAAAUGAGCUGCAGAAGACUCUUCCUUAAGCAACUAUUGCUUAUGCUGAAAUACAGUUCAUACAGGAAAGUUGGGCUAAGUGAUUAACUUAUCUACUUUGUCAGUAUUUAGAGUAACGGGUUGGUGACACUGCAAAUUCCAGUGAUGACCAAUGAGUGUUUUUUUUUUCUUCUUCUUCUCCUUUCGUAUGGAUUUUCAAAUACUUCCUAUGUUUUAAUCCCAUCUUAGACCAGUAAGAGCCUUUUCAAGUUGGUUCUUGAGUUCUUUUGAUAUCUUGUUUUCUAGCACAAGAACAAUACAUCAAGAAAGAGAUAAAACUGGUGUCUCAGACAUUCUAAUGAACAUAUUAAUUUUGUUUGAGUUAAAAAAGCAAUGUAAUAAUAACUAUUCAAAAUUACCUCUCUGAAGCAGACAAUAGUUAUGUGGCUAUGUUCUCUGAACUUAAUUUAUUCUUAAAAAUCCAGUCAUAUCUCAUUAUUUCAUAAGCAUAAGUUAUGUAUGCUUUUUGUGAUGCUUUCAAAUCACUUCUAUGUAAGUGACUAUUGUGUAUGCUUCUGUAAUGCCUUUUACACUGUUAUUUUUAUAACGCUCUUAAACACAUGUAUAAGUCACUUAUAAUGUGAAGUUAGAAAUAGAGAAUUUCUGAACUUAGAAAGAAACAUGUAUACUUGUAUGAUGCUCUCUAACCAUUCUCUGUAAGUCAUUAGAAACUAUAACUAUACAUCAUUAGAAAGUUGUUCUAACCUUACAACUAGAUAAGGGAUAUGAGAAGUAUGCAAAGUAUGUAGUAAAUAAACUCUUUAAGAUAUCUGUGUAUGCUGUGAUAAAGAAAUGUAACAUUAAUCGAGUCUCUGUAAUUGGCUUGGGACAUAAAUAUGCCAUGUAAUAACCCCCGUAAUUUCUAAUAAAUCAAAUCUCUGUAAGUUGGCCUUAAGACAUAAAUAUAUUACACAAAAAUUUCCUUAACUGGCAAUAAAACGUACUAAUCUUGGUUAAAUACGAUAGCACCUAAUGCUUAUCUUGUGAAAUAAAGGUGAAGAAAUUGUAUAUAAAUCCUUGAUUUCUGCCACUUGCUGAGGGGAAGAUAGCAGCAAAAGAUUUCUCUGACCCUCGCUCUCUCUGAAGACUGAGAGCCUGCUGAGAUACUUUCUACCACAUCUGACUUCAGAUCCUAGCUAUGGGGGGAGGGAGGGGGGCUUCCUCCAAUUUCAAGAGGUGGUCAAGUCUUCUUUCCUCAUUAAAGGUAAAAGUCUGAAGUCUGAAGAUUUGGACUCUGAUCAUUGAACUAACGUUGUAAUUGUUAAUUCUGUUUCUCUAGUUCUAAAUGAAUGUCUUGAGGUCUUACUUGCAUGUCUUGCUGUGAUUACCUUGCAAUAAACUAAAUGAGUUUAUGCCUGACAAACCUGAGAAUUUAUUUAUUCUUAAGAUCAGAACCCUCCAGGACAACAUACUUUAAAGUGUACUCUGCAUUUUGAACUAGGUUGUUCAGAAUAUUAUGAUGCAUUAUAGUUAAUUAACUAUCCCUGUCACAUGCUGAGGAUCCAGGGAGGGAAAACAACUCAGAAGAGGCAUACUGCCUCAAAAAGUUGGGGCUAUAAUUUAGGUUUCAAAAGAAAAUCAAUUUGGUGUUGUAUAAAGGGGAGCAGAACACAUGAUGAAGAGUUCAAGUUCUGGAUUCAGAGGAAUAUUUAUAUGAAUCUGACUCCUCCAAAUCCCAGCUUGGAAGGCUUGUGAAGUCACAUAACUUCUUCAAGCUUCCGUUUCCCCA